rnacentral:rRNA from 1 species
UAGGGAAUCUUCCGCAAUGGGCGAAAGCUUGACGGAGCAACGCCGCGUGAGUGAUGAAGGUCUUCGGAUCGUAAAACUCUGUUAUUAGGGAAGAACAAAUGUGUAAGUAACUAUGCACGUCUUGACGGUACCUAAUCAGAAAGCCACGGCUAACUACGUGCCAGCAGCCGCGGUAAUACGUAGGGGGCAAGCGUUAUCCGGAAUUAUUGGGCGUAAAGCGCGCGUAGGCGGUUUUUUAAGUCUGAUGUGAAAGCCCACGGCUCAACCGUGGAAGGUCAUUGGAAACUGGAAAACUUGAGUGCAGAAGAGGAAAGUGGAAUUCCAUGUGUAGCGGUGAAAUGCGCAGAGAUAUGGAGGAACACCAGUGGCGAAGGCGACUUUCUGGUCUGUAACUGACGCUGAUGUGCGAAAGCGUGGGGAUCAAACAGG